UUAUUGAGAUGAGAGUGUUAUUAAUUAUCAUGUUUUCUCUCCUUUUCUCUCUAACCAAGCAAAGUUUCUCUCACUUUCCUUCACUACCACCACCACCACCACCACCACCACCACCACGGAUUGAUGUUCCCCAAAGCACUUAUCAGUCAAGACUUGGAGGCUUAGGAAUAAGCUAUAUGCGCCGAUAGAUGAUGAUGUACUCAUCAGCUGAUGUGUUUUGUUGUAGUAAAAAUCAUAGUAUGUGAUGACGGACACUUGCUCAACACAAACCAGGAUCACCAAAAUAUUGGAGAAUGAUGAACAAGAAUAACAAUAGACCUUUGUGUAGUGAAUCUCCAAAUCAACAGCUGCCCUUUGCUCAGGAGUCUUCGCCUUGAAGAAACGGAUUGCAAUGGAUAAUGUUUGACGAUCAAGCUGCAAAAGACUAAAAAUGUGACCAUCAUAUCUGGAUCAGGGGUACUAACUAUCGCUAGCAUGGAGCAUGUCUCAGUUGGGGUGGAUUGCAGGCCCAUUGACUAUGCUGUUCUUUCAAUCAGUAACCUUUGUUUCUGCCUUCUCUCUCUGCCACUAUUACAAAUCACCCGAUCCAGGGCCCAAGAGAAAUCCCUCCUACCUAGAAGCUGUUCGGACGAUUUUAGAUUAGUGGGAUAGAGCAAACCAGCUUUUUAUUUCAGCAAGCUUCAAAGCUUGUCCCUGGUGGUUCUCCUAAUCCAGAAUGAGUGUGGCGGUAUGCAAGAUUGCUUUUGUUAGUGUCGUCAAAUUGGCAGAUCUAAAGAAGAAUGCUGAUGAACAAGAAAGUCUGGUGUUUGCAACUUUAGCUGGUGACCUGGUAGUCCGAGGACUAAUAUUACUAUCAGUUGUUAUGACUUUUUUUUUAAUUUUUUAAUUUUUUUUGAUGGUUGUUGUAUUUGAAAUAGUGAGUUUAUUUGCAUUGAUGACUUAUUCUUAACUCUCCAACGACCAUAUGAAGAUUUCUAGGGUGUGAGAAAUAUGAAACAAUUUGAAGAGCAUGUAAGUAAAGGGCCAUCAAGAUGCUAACUAUAAAUCUGACCCUUGUGCACUAAAGUUUUCCCUUUCUUAAAAAAGAAAAUCAAGUAAUUAGAACAAAUUUAUUAA